CCACACCCCAGGCGGUGCGCAGCGGCCCGACUUGGUGCUAGGGCUCUCUCAGACCCCUUGCUUUUAGGGCUGCCACCGAGUUCAAGCCUGCGGCCAAGCGGGGCUUCACCAUAGAGUCCUUAGUGGCCAAGUGCGGUGGUGGCUCAGGCAGUAUUGGCGGUGGGGACGUGGGUUCCCGCCCCCUGGCUGUGGCUGCCUCAGAGUAACCGCUCAGGCCCUCACCCCGUGAGGCCAAUAUGGCUUUGGUGAGAGGCUUCCCUGCCACCAUCUCUGCUUGUGCCAGCCAGCCGCUUGCUCAUGGAGGGCCCUAGCUGGUGUUUCCCCCGGGGGCCAUGAAGCACUGGACCCGGGCCCUGAUGACACAAAGGGCUCACCAGCUGGGCUCCUCCUGGCUUCGACCUCCUCACUCUUUGUUCAGCGCCCAGCAUCCGGGCACUCUCCACUUUUACCCCUGGAUGCUUCGGAAUCGUUUCUUUGGCCACUGUGUCCAGGGUGCUGAACACCUUGACUUUUGGACACAGGCUUUUGCAAGGCCAUGGAGGUUGAAAUGCACCUGUUUAUCUGGAUGGUGGUUGGCACAUGCCUUUAAUCAGGAGGAAGAUGAGGAAGAUCUUGGGAAGCCUUAGGUGUAAGGCCAUUUUCAGUGCUAAAUGAAUCCCUAGGAUCCCAGUUUAAGAACGAGCAUGGGAGACCUGCCUGACUGGAAUCUAUUCAUGUACAAGAAGAGACAGAACCAGAGACAGAGAGAGAACCUCACCAGGGUUCCAUGUUCCAGAGCAUGGAUGGCAAGGAAUCAUCACCAUGUGAGGCCAGCUCUCCAACCCAGGCUCUUCAGAGCCCCCGUGAAGUCCUCCUUGGUUUUGUCUGCUUAGCUAGCCUGGUCCUGUGACUGAAGCCAGCACAGAACCUGUGAAAGGAACUUUCCUAGAGUUGUGUAUUGUGUGUUGGGGAACAUAGGGUCCUAUUCCUGCUACUUCCUGCCACAGUGUAAUAAGACACCCAUCUCUUUUCAGAUUAGGGAGGAAAAAAAUUCUGUUCUAAGAGAAUUUAGUGUUGCUCAGGAACAGUGUAAGCAUGAAAUAAGAAUGCUCUCACAGAGGCAGGAUACCAUAGGACAGUAUGUUGAACUCAGCAGAUAUCCCAACAGUAUCACUAUGCCAGGAACCUUGUUGUCCUGUGUUCAAUUUAGGGAAGACAUUUGUUCGGAGGGACCAUUCAUGUCAGUUACAUUGGCUUCUGUGUGCUUCGUGCUGUGACAGAUGUUGGCACAGUCUAGGGAGAAAGAACACAGGAGAUGACAUCUUACCAAUGUGACAGUGGGAGGGACAGGGAAAGCUUUCCAGAAGCUCUCUCAAAGGAUAUGCAAGGCUGCUUACCUGGGCAAGAACAAGUAAUGCAAAUACUGAGAGAAAUGCAAGCAACCUUCUUGAUUUGUGUAGCUGAGUGCAGACCUGAAGUUGUCAGGGCAACAGAGGGUUGCUGCCCCAUCAUGAGUUCGUCUCAUGAUGACUGUGUCUCUAGUUCGAACAUGAUCACAGUAACUAUCACUCCCUCCUCAUGUGGCAUGUGGUGGUGGUGGUGAGGAAUUAUGUUGCCAAUGUGAAUGGUGGCAUUGAAGGAACAAGCAGAGAGAGAGGCAGGAAGUGAGUAACUUGAGGGCAGAAUUGGUGGAGAAAGAGGGCACAGCUGCCCUUGGAGUCACCUCACAGCCGUGGUUCUCAUAUGUUUGCUCUGAGGUGGGUCUGAGGACUCAAGCAAUGUAACCUGUGAUGGCUUUUGUGGGGCUGGGAUAGGGGUCUUGUAAAAGGUUAGCAAGAGGCUGCUGUGUAAUAGAGUCCCACGUGGGCACUUGAGGGCCUCAUUCUCAACCUGGGAACCCAUUUUGGGGCUGGUGGGACAGGCUGACUAGUUAGACUUCUCUGGGGAGAGAAGGCUAACUCCUGAGCAAGGAAACCAUAUUUCCUGCAAGAAACAGGGAACAAAGGACAGUCACAUCCCCACACAUGAUGGGACAUAUGUGACUGUCCUUUGCUCCUUGUUUAUCCAGGUUGAGGGAGAGGGCAUGGGGCUCCUGUUUCACAUACAGCUUUAGGGCACUUAUGCAUGUCAGCCCUCUCCUCUGAGCAAGACCCAGUGAAAACCAGCCCUUCCUGCCUGGGAUUUUCCCUGGUCAGGUCUGUGCUGAGGUGGACAGUUCUUCUUGUGCAGGAGGAGCCUCUGACCACAUUGGCUCCUGGACUUCUGUCCUGGCUCCCCUGAGGGGCUGUUCAGUUUGCAGUCAGUGCAAGUCCCAGCACAUGGUUCACAAGCCAGUGAGCUGGGGCUGGUCCUCUUCAGGACUUCAAAGCAGAAAAACACUGGGAGGAGGCUCUUAGUGACUUUGAAGCACACAGGACUUCCAUGACUGACCCUGCAGUGCCAUAAGUACCCCACUGGUUCUUCGAAAACUUACUGCUUCCAUUGGCCCGGGUCCCACCCCCUUCUCCCUGCUUUGAUCAGCAUCUCUGUAGUUCACUCCCGGGUCAACAAGCAUGAGGUGGCCCUUCAGAGGUUCCUUGGUGUGCCAGAAGUGGGCACAGUCAUCAUUUGUCACAAAAGGCAAAGAGUGUGGAUAAGUUGAUAAGGACAUGCACCACCAUGUCUUGUGGGUGACCCCACGAUCCCCUUUCCUUGGGCUCAGGUUCUAACAUGAGGCUUGACUUCUCUUUAGCAGUGGCAGGCAGCAGCACAGCUUUCUGAGGCAGUUCAUGAUUGUCUUCCUCAUCCCCAUCCAGCGGUGAUGCUGGUGGUUACCAGGGAAAGCUGGACCUGCCUUCUGAUGGUUAACCAUUCUUUCUGAAUGAUGGACAUUUCCUGAUUAUUGGCCAUAUACUGAAUGGUGGCCUCUUCCUAUUUGAUGACCUCUUCCUGGAUGAAGGUCUUUACCUGUGUGAGGUUCUCUUUCUCCAAGAUAUAUCAGGGGAAAGAUCCUGUGAAGGUUACACUCCUAGAUGCCUGUAGGGAUCCCCAGAACUCCUUUUGGAGCCUGCAGAACAUAUUUCUCUCUGUCAAUUGUAGACCUACUGUCUGGUCUAGAAGGAGGAGUAUAUAGAAAUUGAGACAGGACAGGUUCAGUCAGGUUACUAUAGAAGACAAGUUUGGACUGUGCGAAAUUCUCACUGAUUUCCAGUCUGCUGCUCAUGAGGGAAUCAGCCACAGUUAGUCCAUGUGGGAUAGAUAUGGAAGGGGGCAGGGGUGUUCCUCUUUGACUGGCAGCACACAGCAUGUCUUCUGCCACCCUGCUGGGAAUUCUUAUCCUCCUCCUCCUCCUCCUUUAGCUUAGAUGAAUGUGAGGAAAAGGUAUAGAGUGCAGAGGCUCAGAAACUCUCAUGAAAGCAGAGAAGGUGUGAAGGUCUUCCAGGCCUGGCUGCAUGCAUUUCAAGGCUUUCAUUUAGUGGUGGGAGCAGCCUUUCCUAGGUGAGUGGUGUUGUAGAAUCAGGUAGGUUGCAAUCACCUCAUUGAAUUUUUGCUCUCUCAGAGACUCAAUUUCUUCAUACUUGUACCCCAUGACUCUCAUGGUCCUGACAAUGCUAGGGCUCCAGUUGCCUGGGAAACUCUGUGUGGAAGUAGGUGGCAAACCUGCCUCACUGUCCCUGUUCAUGGGGUGCUUCGUGAUGAUGUGUAUAGUGGACCUCGUGACAAGAUUGAUCAUCAUCAGUUCGACGAUGUCUUUGAAAAUAUUAGUGGAAAGAUUAGGAGGAGUGCUGACGGUUGAGGUGACCUGCUCUUAACCUCCAUAAAAGUCCUGCCUUGGAAAGGAAAGCGCCUGGCCAUCAUGAGGAAGAUGAGGGAGCCUAAACUCCAGAUAUGGACUGGGCAGCCCUCACAUUCCUUCACAUGUAGGAUUUCCAGGGCAUAGCAGGGCAGCGUGCCACAGAAAUCCACCUGCUUCUCCCAGGAAUCACUUGGGCAGCCAGGCCAGAAUUGUACAGCUUGGUGUCUCCCACCCCCAUCCCGGCCCUGCAGUCGAUCACAAUGUUGUCUUUAUGUCUCUGUGGCCUUUAUGUCUCUGUGGGCAAUGUGACUGUCAUGACAGUAUGCACCAAAUGUAUCUGGGCAAACAAAUGCCCUUUGGGUCUAACUCUCCUCUAAAGACCCCCAUUCAUGUAUGGAGCCUAGUAGCUCUCCCUAUAGGCCUGCUCCAUCACUAGGUAGCUGGCCGUUCUCCUCUGGACCAAGUGAAACAGCUUGAUAAUGUUAGGAUGGGUAAGGAAUUUCAUAAUGCUGACUUCGCUACUGAUAAAGGAGGUGUACUUCAUGCUCUUGAGAAGUUUUCCAUCCACACAGGUCAAUGUGGGUACAUGGUAGUCCAGUGUGACCACUGAAAUGUUUCCUUUGCACAGGUUUGUCAUCCUGUCUAUUGAUCUCUGUCUUUGUUUUUAGUUAAGACAUGCUUUGUAUCCUUCCAAGUUCAUCUGCUUAUACAUAUGUCCUCGAGAGACUGUCCAAGCCAGAAUGAAAUGGCCUUAGUCAAUUGUGGAUACUGUGUAUCAUAAACUCGGAAUAUAUGCAUUUGUGGUCAUUGUUCAUGCUUUGUGUUGCUUGCCUUUGAAAGACACUGUGAGAAUACACUAGUUGCUGGCAUGGUACUGACCAGCAGCCCUCUCAUAA